CCCCAUUGGGAAGUGUUGCAGUGGGGCGCUGUGGGUCCGGGCCCACCUGCACCACGAUGUCCUUCAUGUAGUCGUACUCCUCGGGGGUGCAGGAAGGCGGUGAAAUCCUUCCUUGGUGGCCGCCAUGUCGCCGUCGCGGUCGGCAUCUUGAAGCGCCGCUCGUCCCUCACCAUCAUCUGCUUGUAGUUGAAGCCGUGUCCGCGGUCGGGGUCGUCUGCGGGGCGGGGGCCAAUUAACGCUAAUUAACGCCUCACCGAGUGAUCCGUGACGCCGGGAUUGGCCGUGGGGGCACCUGGGUGCCAUUAAUUAGCAGCGGCCCGGAGUUAAUGAGGUGUUGGGGAGCCAUUAAUUAGCAGCGGUGUUAACGAGGCAUCUGGGAGGGCAUGGGGAGCCAUUAAUUAGCAGCGGCCCGGUGUUAACGAGGCGUGGGGAGCCAUUAAUUAGCAGCGGUGUUAACGAGGCGCCUGGGAGGGCGUGGGGAGCCAUUAAUUAGCAGCGGCCCGUUGUUAAUGAGGCGUGGGGAGCCAUUAAUUAGCAGCGGCCCGGUGUGAACGAGGCGUGGGGAGCCAUUAAUUAGCAGCGGUGUUAACGAGGCGCCUGAGGGUGCAGCCCGCGGUGCUCCGGGAGGUCAUAAGGCCGUUAAUGAGGGCGCUAAUUAACGGGGCGGGAGUUCCCCUCCGUCCCUGGUGACCCCAAUCCCUUAAUCCCAACCCUGACCCCAAACCGUGACCCCAAACCCCAAACUGUGACCCCAAACCCCGACCCCUAAUCCUAACUCUGACCCCAAACCCCAAACCGUGACCCAAAACCCCGACCCCUAAUCCUAACCCUGACCCCAAACCCCAAACCAUGACCCCUAACCCUAACCCUGACCCCUAACCCUGACCCCAAACCCCAACCCCUAACCCUGACCCCGAC
ensembl:lncRNA